rnacentral:miRNA from 14 species
GGUCACUCUAGUCACUGCAGCA